GACGAACGCUGGCGGCGUGCUUAACACAUGCAAGUCGAACGAAGAGCGAUGGAAGCUUGCUUCUAUCAAUCUUAGUGGCGAACGGGUGAGUAACGCGUAAUCAACCUGCCCUUCAGAGGGGGACAACAGUUGGAAACGACUGCUAAUACCGCAUACGAUCUAAUCUCGGCAUCGAGGAUAGAUGAAAGGUGGCCUCUACAUGUAAGCUAUCACUGAAGGAGGGGAUUGCGUCUGAUUAGCUAGGUGGAGGGGUAACGGCCCACCAAGGCGAUGAUCAGUAGCCGGUCUGAGAGGAUGGACGGCCACAUUGGGACUGAGACACGGCCCAGACUCCUACGGGAGGCAGCAGUGGGGAAUCUUCCGCAAUGGACGGAAGUCUGACGGAGCAACGCCGCGUGAGUGAUGACGGCCUUCGGGUUGUAAAGCUCUGUUAAUCGGGACGAAAGGCCUUCUUGCGAAUAGUGAGAAGGAUUGACGGUACCGGAAUAGAAAGCCACGGCUAACUACGUG
rnacentral:rRNA from 1 species